AUGGAGGAGGAAAGCAUCGCGUGUGUCCCCUGGGGAGCCUGGCUGAAGAGAGAGGUGGUGUGUGGACCAUGCCCGACUCAUUCCUCCCAAAUUUGCCAGAGAAGUGACCCCUCCGCCACAGAAGGAUCAAGUCAAAAGACAAAUCUGAAUCUGAUUAAAUCUCCAGGUCUAACUACCAAUUCGCCAGCAAUACCUGAGGCAGGAAAACAUCUCUAAAGAUAACAGAGCAACUCAUGCAUACUGUGGGAUGUUCUACAAGAUAAAUGACCCAAGUUCCACAGCCAAUAAAUUUCAAAGAAAAAUAAAAAGUGAUGGAAGGAAAAUAAUAUAGAUUAAAAGACAUCUGAGAAACCUAUAAACUAAUAUUAAUGAUUGGGUUUUAUUUGGGUUCUGAUUCCAAAAACAAGUUGAAAGAAAUUAUGUGAUAACUUGGAAAAUUUGAAUGUUAAUUGAAUAUUCAAUAAUAUCAAUGAAAUAAGUUUUGAGCAUCAUAAUGGCAUUGUGCUUUUUGUUUCAAGUGUCUUUAAUUCCCAUACAGUUGAAGGUACUAUAGUCAAAACAUGGUAGAGGUGAAUCAGAAUGUUCCUGCUUAACAA
rnacentral:lncRNA from 1 species